AAUAAUUAACAACGUAUAAGUGGGUUCCCCCUCGCCAGGCAAUGGAACCGCCCGCCGGGUUCCUGGAGCCGAGGCUCCGAGUUUAACCCGUUUCCUGCCGAAUCCCAAAGGCUCUGCCUGGUGGACGAAAGUGGGAUUCUGCCUCGGGUUCUGCUGCCCUGGAACACCGCGGGCAGGUUCGGGUGGUGAGGACUACUGCAUACAGGCGUUGUGAAACGGGAGAGCGACCACCACAUCCUCAAAACGGACUUAAAUGCCAUCAGUGCAUUAAACUGAAUGCUCCUUGUGGCAUCUGUCAACUCCUGUCAAGAAAUUCGGAGUUGGGCCUGUUCAGCAUUGAGAAGAGACAGCUGAGAGGGGACCUCAUCAAUGUCUAUCAGUAUCUGACAGGAGGGUGUCAAAGAUGGAACCAAGUUCUGCUCAGUGAUGCUGAGCAAUACGACAAUACGGGCAGAACCUGAUGCACAGGAAGCUCCACUUGGAUAUGAGGAAGAAAGUCUUUACUGUAUAGGUGCCUGUGCACUGGAACAGGUUGCCCAGAGAGGUUAUGGAGUCUCCCUCACUGGAGAUAUUCAAGAAUCUUCUGGAUGCAGUCCUGUGCCAUGUGUUCUGGGAUGGCCCUGCUUGAGUGGAGAGGUUGGACCAAAUGACCCACUGUAGUCCCUUCCAACCUGACCCAUUCGUGAUUCUGUGAUUAUAUUGAGGUGUGGAAACAUAGGUUAGCAAAAGAACACCAAACACUAUGUUGACAUAUGAAGGUAAAAAUUACAUCCUUUAAUAGUUGAAAUCUAUUGGAACCACAUACACUAAAAUACCUCAGUCCCAGUAAAAUUCUGCAAACAGUUACACGUCCCUCUAAAGUCCCUGAAAAUAUCAAUAUAGCUUUUAAAUCUUAGCCCUACUGGAUGUAUAAUUUGUCCUGGAACCAAAUUUUUCUUUUACUAUUUCAUUAUAGUUAUUGCUUUAAAGUUGCAUUAGAGGAUAAUGAGUGUUAUAAAUCUUCCUCUAUUCUUUGAAUGUUUACCCCAUAGAUGUGUUUUUUCCAUUAGUGCCUUCUUGUUCUUGUUUCGGGAGUUGAGCAAAUGGUGUCCAGUUGUUUUACUUCCCUAAAAUAAUAAUACAAGUUUUGUGGCUCAUUAAUUUACAAAAAGCCCAUUAUGUCUAGUGAAUCUUUAUCCAAUUAACAGUUAAGGAACCGUUUCUAAAUUUUAACCUCCAAACAUGAAAUUUAUGGUGGUCAAAAAUAUGCUGAAUUUUUGGUCCAAGGAGGUAAAAUGUUUAAAAAAGGUGAUGUACCCAGAGAUCUUAAGUUAUUUUUUUAACAUACUCUGAUGUAACAUUCAGCCUCCUAUCUGGGAGUAAAUUGUCUUGGGGCAUAAAGACUUAGAUAAAGCAGGUAAUGUGUAAUCCAUCAGUUGGGGCGUUCAGUCAGGAACCUGCUCUCACACUCACAGAGCUCAGCUGCAUUACUGGCAGUGGGCUUCUUCCCCACUAGAUGGUGUCACUGGAGCAGCUACGACUUCCCUGUUUGAAGGGAAUUCCCACUCAUGAAUAGGCUCUAAGAUGUAAGAGGACAAUUAAAAGUACUUUCAAACAAACUUCUUUCCUGUUUUGUAGAAAGCAAAGACUCCAAUAAGAUUAUAAAGAAGGAUAAACUUUACAAAGAUAGAUGAAGUAUUUGAGUCACUCAAUGAAUGUAAAUAUGUGUGGUGAUAACACUAAUAUGCAAAACUUAUUAGGACACUUUGGAGAAAGAUCUGUUUUAGAAAUUUGACAUUCUAAAUGGUGGCAGUCAUAAUCUGUUGUCUAACUCAAAAAGAAUGGUUUAUUUCAGCACAAAGUAAUCCAUAAUCUACAUGGCAUGAAUGAUUCUGUGGAGGACCUUAGUUGUAUCAGAGGGAUAUUUGCAGAACUGCUUUUCAUGUGUAAAGACAGCAGCAGAAGUUGAAGCUGUGAAUAUAUUUAGAAAGACAAGUAGUUGUAUCAAAAAUACAUGACAUAAACAUUAGGCAGCUGAAUGUUCAGAGCUAUGAGAAAGUAAUGCUGCAUAUGAAAAGUAACUUGUAGCAAUUCAAAGCCUCUCACUUCUUUUUCACCCGUGAAACUUCAGUUUCUUUAAAAUAAACAGGCAAAAUCCUCUUCAGUUGAGCAGUUUUAUAAGUGUGGACUGCUUACAAAAGAAUUACUCCACAGCUCUUACUCCUCCAGUAGUUUCCGUGUUUCUCCCUCUGAUCCUCUACAUGUUAUCUCAGUGCUUACUCUCAAGGCCAGAUACUUCUGAAAGGUGUGGGUUAUCUGAGAUGCAGACUGCAACCAUGAAAAUAUAGCAUGUUGAAAAUAGGAGCAUUGAAUAAUAAAGUUAAUUUGUAAAGCUUUGUUUGUUAAUCAUUAGUGAAAAUUUUUUACAGAAAGGCUAAGUGAAUUGCUUAGAGUAGUUAAACAAGUCAAAAAAUAGCUUCACUCCGUACACUGAAAAGUUUGCAGUGUUCCUUGUCAGCAUCCAGUUUUAUUUUCUGAAAUACUAAGUUGUGAAAACAUCCUGGUGCAAGUUGCUGCUAUUAGAGAUAGGCAGGAAGUGAGACAUUUUAGGAAAUAAGAGAUUUUCCAGUAUGGCAUCUUUUGUUAUCAGCAUGAUUAUUAAAAUCGGAUACCAACACAUCCUGGCUGAACCUUCUCAGUUCAGACCUUCCUUUUGACUUUCUUGACAGAUACCUUGAUAUUGUCCUUCAUUCCAUCCUACUGUAUCCCUUGUGAUUGUUCAAAUGUUCUCUUCACAACACUGAUAACCAUCUCAUUUUUACAGGCAGUAAAAAGUCUUUUUCUUGAGAAAUCUCUGAGUUUUUUCCUCUAUUACUAUUGCCCUGAGUAGGACCAGAUGACACAGUGAUAAUAUCUCUAGCCUAUACUGUAGAAACACCAAUAGAGUUGCAUAAGUGUGUGAAAAACAAACAAAUUAAACAAAGAGACAUUUCAUUAAGAUUGUGGCAUAUGUUUGCUGGAAUUUCUACAUACAAUUUUAUUUUCCUUCUUACCUUGACUGAUAAAAGUGCUUGGAUACCAGCUAUUUCAAAAUGAUCCUGUCCACCUUCCUUCUCUGGAAGGUCAUUUUUCUAAUGUCCUACCUGGUUCCCACAGUCAUUUCUGCUUCUAAUCCAAUUUCUGUCUUCAUUUUUGCAGCCUACCAUAGUCUUGUAUUUUAGAAAGAGAAUUUCAAGAGACAUCUAGAUACUAUUCAUCAAAAAACAGAUUAAAUUAAUGUUUCACAAUCUCACUGCUGAAGUAAAUGAUUUUCGGAACCAGAGAUAUCCAAAUUUGAAACAGAUAGACUUAGCAAAGAAAAAAAGUAAAAAAGGGAAAAAAAGAAAGUAAAUCUAAAUUGUACAGCAGGUAGGUUAACAAAAUGGUAAAGCAACAGCAUUAAAAAAUAGCUAGUGUUGAGCAAAGAAGUGAUUUUUCCAUCUUUUAGUUAUGCUUGCCACCUGCUGCCAAAAUUGUUUGUGCCAGGAUCUAGCUGACAUUUAAAGUAUGUUGAGUAUAAUGUAAGAAAUGGUAUAGGAGCAUUCUGUACAUUAAGAGUGAGGGAGAGUUGGAUCUGGGGAAAUCGUAUAUAAUAGAAAAAUUUAGAGCUGAUGUGUAACUAGAGUGGUCCACAAGAUUUGUGGAACAUGAUUUCUCUCUAAAAAGCCAAGUUUAUGCUUUCCUCUUUAUUAGUAUUUAUCCAUGGUUCCAUUAUUUGCAUGUUAUAUUGUUGUUUUUAUCAAUUUCCCUGCAGUGAACAUCAGGCUUUCCAGCCUGCAGUUCCAGGUAAACUGGACAAAUUUUAAUAACAGUAAUUUUAUUUGAUGAUGGCUAUAUUCUGAUACAGGAAUCAUGGAAGUUUUACAGUUAAGAAAAAGAAAAAUUGUUUACAGUUUUAUCUUAUAAUAAAGCAGGUAACAUCAUUUUAAUUGAAGUAAUGAAAGUAACGACUUGACACAAAAUUUACACAGAAAUGCACUUAGAACCAAGACUUAGUUAAAGGCAUUUAGUAGCAAAUAUACCAGUCAUUGUGAUAGUUAGAAUUGUGGUUAUGUAUUAUAAUCUAUUAUUAUGUAUUAUGUAUGCUCUGCUGCAAUGUGAUUUGAGUUCUGAUUUUUAAGGCUGGCAAAUGUGUGAGGUACUUUCUUCAUAUAUUCUUAGGAAUUCCAUAAAUAAAACUAUGAAUUGAUUCUUCUCA